UUUUUAGGGCUGCACUCACAGCACAUGGAGUUUCCCAGGCUAGGGGGUCUAAUCAGAGCUGUUUCUGCCGGCCUGCACCAGAGCCACAGCAACGCCAGAUCCCAGCCGUAUCUGUGACCUGUACCACAGCUCACCACAAUGCUGGAUCCUUAACCCACUGAAUGAGGCCAGGGAUCGAACCCACAACCUCACGGUUCCUAGUCGAAUUCAUUUCUGCUGCACCAUGACAGGAACUCCUAAUUCACAACUACUGUUUACCUAUGUUAGCUGAUUUAGGAACAGACUGUUACCAAGCUAUAAGGGCGUCAGGAUGGCAAAAGUCUAACAAUGAGGGGUUAAUUCUUUGUGCCAUAUUGUUCAUUUGACAAUGUUUCCCCUGUAAUUUACACUUAGUUUGUAAAAAAAAAAAAAAAAGAAAGAAAGAAAGAAAAGAAAAACACACAAGGAAAAGUUUAAAAAUACCUGGUCAGAUAGAAUCAUAGAUUAUUGUUUCACAUUACUUAUUCAUUCAACCAACGUAACAAAGGAUUUCAAAAGCAAAUACAAAUUCAAGGCAAAGAAAUUCAUAUAAUCUGUUAUCAAAAGCAGCAUUUCAAAAAAAUCUUGUUUUAACAGAGAGACCGAAUUCAAAUUCAAGUUUUGCAACUAGCUUACUUUUUUCUGUGGGGAGCCGAGAAGAUACAAGAAGCCAAGGAAGGGAGCUUGCCUGUACUUGCAAAACCGAGGGCAGGUUCCUAAUCAGAAAAAAGGACCUUGCCUGUCGGCAGAAAAACCUGAAGGCAGGUUCCUAACCAAGGAAGGGAGCUCACCUGAAGGGUACAUGCCGAAGGUGGGCUUCUGGUCAGGAUAGAAGCCUGCCUGAACAGUACAAGCCGAGGGCAGGCCUCAGGUUACAGGGCUCUCAUUUUGAUGUUGAUGGGGAAGAAUUGGGGCUUUCCUGGGAAACAAUUUCCAUGUUUGCACCGGGGAACAUGCAUUGUUUCUCGGUGACCUAGUCUUUCCUGUUGUUUUGUUAUUCAGUUUUUCCUCAGUCUUUCCUGAUUAUUUGCUUAUUAUUCUUAUUUACCAUUCUUAUUUUCCUGUGGUGAUUUGGUUUGUGCUUCAACAAAAUUACAAAAAUAAUAUAAGAAUUUCAUCCUGAAGGACUUUCCCCUAUUUAAAUCCAACUUAAUUAAAACAUCGUGUUUAUCUACUAACUAGUUAUACAGUAAACUUUAAAGUUAGGAUUUUAAUGAGGUCUAUAGAAGUUAGACAUAUAUUAUUCUUCAUCAAAAGAAACCCAGCUGUGAGUUUUGUCCUUGACUUUAGAAAAUUUUAGCGGUAGCAGCUAAGUUGAUUUGUAUUUUCUCAUACUGUUUCCCUGCCAAGGACACUUUAAAGAUAGACACUAGUCUGAAGAUGAGUUUUUUGUGUCUGUAAUUUCUUCAGCUUGUGGGAACUGGCUGGCCAUGAGAUGGUUUGUACUGGGUCUCCUCUUUCCCAUAUGAUAUCCUGUGCCUGUUUGUCCUUGAAUUGUACUCACUAAAUUUAGUUAAACUGAAGAUUUUAAAACAUGAUGUAUUGCUACUGUACCAUGUGAUCAAAAAACAAAGCCUAAUAGUUAACCAAUGUACUUUUAACACUAUGAUGUAAUCUGUAAUAAAAAAACUGCCUAUAUAAUCAACCACUUACGCUAAUAAAAUUUGAGCAGUCCAGCGCCCUGAGAGAAGGGACAAAGAGGCUGUCUCCGUUGCAAAAGCCAACGCCGUUCAUCUCCCAUCUCAUCUCCCAUCGGGAUGUAUACACCCUGGCUGCCAGACCUGGUUGCUGGAGCUGGCCUCCGGCACUUUUCCUACAUUCUGAAGCAACCAUGGACUGUCUUUUAUCGUUUCUACAGGCAUGCGCUUUCUUGUUGAACAUUUCAGGAUGGCACUGAACAUACCGAUUAAUAGUCUUAAAUGACUUCAGUUUCUCUGUUUUGUAACUGAAGUCUCAGUAUCUCAUUUGACUUUUAUCAAACUUAGGUACAAUAGGUAUUAUACUUAUGUCGAUGACUCUAAAGACAUGUCUAUAUUAAUUAGAUCAACAAAAUUUAAUCUUGGAGUUCCCUUCGUGGCUCAGCAGUUAAUGAACCCGACUAGGAUCCAUGAGGAUGCAGGUUCGAUCCCUGGCCUUACUCAGUGGGUUAAGGAUCCAGCACUGCUGUGAGCCGUGGUGUAGGUUGCAGGCUCAGAUCCCAUGUUACUGUGGCUGUGGUUUAGGCCAGCAGCCACAGCGGAUUUAGACCCCACACCAGGGAAAUUCCAUAUGCCUCGGGUGUGGCCCUAAAACAAAAAAAUAAAAGUAAAAAAACAAAUUUUAAUUUCAAUAUUAACAUCUAAAAAUGAAUAUCAAAUACUGAGUAUUUUCCAGUUCACAUGAACCAAAAAUUUACCUUAUGUAUUUUGAGAAUUUAUGUAAGUGCUUAAUUUCCUUUAAGCCAAUUAAGUUGAGCUCUUUUAAGAAUUAAUUUUGGCAAUGCCAUACAUACAUAACACACACAAAGACACGUACAAACAAGCAAAACAGAGGCCUCAUAUUUCCCAUUUCGAAGUUUCAGCCAUGAAUAAAGUACAUCUGUAUAAAACCUGUCAGUUACAAGAGACACUGGGUUCAAACUGGGUUUCUGGCAGAUGGAAUAAAUCAUUGUCACCUGUCUAGAUGGCUAACCCCCCCUUUUAAUAAUGCUUAUGAACAAGACAUAGGACUUCUUUGUCCCUGAGAAUUCAACUUCCAACUUAGACCCUUUUCCUGAAAUUUGUAUUUCAAAAAGAUGGUGAGAGAAGGAUUUCAGAAGGUCAGGUAAGACAUUUGCAUCUCAAAGGCACGGGCUAGUUCCUAGAGGAUGACUUUGUUCCUUUAGGGUCGGAAAAAAUUUCCCUCAAUACUUACAAGCCUCUUCCCUGAGACCUUAAAGGCCAUGUCAAGUAAGACCAGGAAUGGGGUGUGUGGGCCCUGUUCUAAUUUUUGUAGUUUUCACCUGUCAGGGGAAGCCUGGCUUAUAAAAUGGAGCAUUGUACAGACCCCAGGCUCCCAGUUCAUUUGUCGGAAGGCGCAUGUCCCGGUCGGUCUUCUUCCAUGCCAGUUUCACACACCUGCCAGGAUUCCAAAAAGGUGUAGCCACUGUUUCUGGAAAGACACAAGCAUAACCUCUUCCCCAAGUUAUUAAAGGAUCAGGUUCUGUCCACGUAUUCUCCUCAGAUGUUUUCCGGUACACUAAUGCGCAGGUACCAGGAAUACGCUGGCCAUACUGUGGAAAGUAACAUAAGGUCUUUUUUUUGCCAUUUCUUGGGCUGCUCCCACAGCAUGUGGAGGUUCCCAGGAAAGCAUCUGCUGACUUUGAUGGACUCCUAUCCCAACUUCGAUUUGGGAGUAAUUAAAGACCAUGUGGGAGGGGCAAUCACAAUAACAACUGAAACAUCGGCUCCAUUAUCUGUUAAUCCCCUGAUAUUUUUUUCCAUUAACCGUAAUAGUCAUUCGUGGACGUUCAGUUGUGACUUCCUGAGUCCAAAAGACUUGAGAAGUCCCUGCACUUCCAAUCCUGAUGUUCCCCUUUCUUUAUGAGGACUCUGUCCUAUUUUAAGAUAUGGCAGCAGUAACAAUUGAGCAAUCCUCCUUCCAGGAUGCAAAGGAAGUAGGGUUUUGGAUUUCAUCAUCACUUUAAUCUCUCCUUGACAGUCUGCAUCUAUCACUCCAGGCAAAACUUGUAAGCCUCUCAAGGUUAAGCCACUUCUCCCUCUAAUGAGGCCUACGGUGUCCGGAGGAAGAGGGCCAUAAAUUCCUGGAGGGACUGCCUGAAAGCCCUGUUCAUACGUUAAAACAGCUGCUGUGGCGCCCGGCAAGUCCAACCCUUGGGAAGCCCCUGGGAGGGAUCGGAUGCCUUUUCGGUUGGAGCCACAAAAGCCCACAUUGUUGGACGGGGCCGGGGCUGGCCCUGGUUCCCGUUUCCCGACACCAGAGUGGUUAAUGGAGUACCAUUUCGGUGAAACUUAGAUCGGCAUUGAUUAGCCCAGUGAUUCCCUUUCUGACAGCGAGGACAUAAGCCGGGGUUCUGACUGGGUCCUGGAGAUGAUCCUGUUGCAGAGGGUGCCUUUUCUUUUGGGGGGGCUCGGCAUUCUCUCUGAAAGUGUCCUGCCUUUCCACAGUUAAAGCAUGUCUUUCCUGAGCAGCCAAGUGCUCUUUUCAAUGCUGCAGCAAGCAGCUCUUGAGUAUGACCUACACUCCCUACAUCCUGACAUGCCUUAAUAUAAUCAAAGAGGUCUCCUGAAUUUCUUACAGGGGCCAUUGCCCUUCUACAGUCUUUAUUUGCGUUUUCGUAUGCCAAUAGUUUAAUUAAAAUAUCAGCCACCUGAGAAUGGGCUACUUGGCGAUGGACGGCCUGUGUUAGGCGGUCCACAAAUUGUGAGUAAGGUUCUGUAGGGCCUUGAAGGCAACGUGUAAAAGAUCCUUGUGGCUUUCCUGUCCCAGGAAUUGUCUUCCACGCUCUUUGGGCGGCCAGGCUCAACUGCUCAUACGCCAGAGGAUCAUAAGCCAGUUGUUUUGUUACGUCAAGAAAAGGGCCUGUCCCCACCAACAUUUCAAAAGUAAUUGGAACAUGAUCUCUUUUAUUUAAGCAAGCCUGUUCCCGACAAAAAUCUGAAAGACUAGACUUCCAAAUUAAAUAAUCUAUACCAUCCAGGGUGGCUUUGGCUAUCAUAUGCCAGUCCCACGGGGGAAGCUGGAGUGUCCCCACGCUUUCUACCAAGCGCAUCGUAAAGGGAGCUGUCACUCCGUUCUGUAUCACACUCUCCCGGAGAGCUUUAAGAUCUUUAAAAUCAAAAGUGUUCUGCGCAUGGGUAUUUUGUCCUGGGACUUGAGGAUUGGGGACAAUAGGUAUAGGGCACGCUAAAAAGGUCCGAUCCUCUAGACUAGCUGACUUUAAGGCUGAUUGAAGGGGAGUUAGUGCUGCCGCCACAGCUAACGGCCUAUUUAAACUCUCAUCAAGAAAGGGAUCGGCCUGAGGGGGAGCAGAAGCUAUAGGCUUUUCUUUAUGUUCCCGUAAGGGCUCCAAAACACGUCUUACUAGUUCCCAUGUAGAAAAAACAGAAACAGAAAGAGAGGCCCCCGACCGAUGGGCGUGCCUUAAAUUUUUCCCCACGAGAUCCCAGCAUUCCGGGUCCACAGUACCCUCGCCUGGAAACCAAGGGUUAUAUUUGAGCACGGCUUCUAACAAUUCCUCGAUCUCAGACCCUGUUACCUGAGCCCCCGACCAUUUCAACACACAUUUCAGCAACUGAAUAUAAUGUUUGGUUUCCUGUGAUUGAUUCUGCCCCAUUGUUAUCCUGGCUUAAAGUUUCUACUUACUCACGGUUGCGAUUCCGUCGAGUGCAAUGCUACCGUCUCCGCCGUCUGUAGUUGCACUUUUUCCUGCUCGUGGCCCAACUUCUCUUUCCUCUGCUCGUGGCAGUGUUAUGGCAGCUGCCCAGAAGCCCUGGGCUGCAGCCUAUCAGUUCUGGCGACAGCCCUGUGGCUGUCGUGUCCCAGCUCCAGCAGCUCUGUGGCUGCAGUGGAUCAGCUCUUUGACCCGGCGAGAAACCAAGCGAGCACUUGGAGAGUUGGAGAACUCAGGUUUAUGACGCCGGUGGGCUCAGAGGAGAUC
rnacentral:lncRNA from 1 species